GCGAGCGGCGGACGGGUGAGUAAUGCCUAGGGAUCUGCCCAGUCGAGGGGGAUAACAGUUGGAAACGACUGCUAAUACCGCAUACGCCCUACGGGGGAAAGGAGGGGACCUUCGGGCCUUNCGCGAUUGGAUGAACCUAGGUGGGAUUAGCUAGUUGGUGAGGUAAUGGCUCACCAAGGCGACGAUCCCUAGCUGUUCUGAGAGGAUGAUCAGCCACACUGGGACUGAGACACGGCCCAGACUCCUACGGGAGGCAGCAGUGGGGAAUAUUGCACAAUGGGCGAAAGCCUGAUGCAGCCAUGCCGCGUGUGUGAAGAAGGCCUUCGGGUUGUAAAGCACUUUCAGUAGGGAGGAAAGGCAGUAGUUUAAUAAACUGUUGCUGUGACGUUACCUACAGAAGAAGGACCGGCUAACUCCGUGCCAGCAGCCGCGGUAAUACGGAGGGUCCGAGCGUUAAUCGGAAUUACUGGGCGUAAAGCGUGCGCAGGCGGUUUUUUAAGCCAGAUGUGAAAGCCCUGGGCUCAACCUAGGAAUUGCAUUUGGAACUGGGGAACUAGAGUCUUGUAGAGGGAGGUAGAAUUUCAGGUGUAGCGGUGAAAUGCGUAGAUAUCUGAAGGAAUACCGGUGGCGAAGGCGGCCUCCUGGACAAAGACUGACGCUCAUGCACGAAAGCGUGGGGAGCAAACAGGAUUA
rnacentral:rRNA from 1 species